rnacentral:rRNA from 1 species
GAUGAACGCUGGCGGCGUGCCUAAUACAUGCAAGUCGAGCGAACAGAUGAGGAGCUUGCUCCUCUGACGUUAGCGGCGGACGGGUGAGUAACACGUGGAUAACCUACCUAUAAGACUGGGAUAACUUCGGGAAACCGGAGCUAAUACCGGAUAAUAUAUUGAACCGCAUGGUUCAAUAGUGAAAGACGGUUUUGCUGUCACUUAUAGAUGGAUCCGUGCCGCAUUAGCUAGUUGGUAAGGUAACGGCUUACCAAGGCAACGAUGCGUAGCCGACCUGAGAGGGUGAUCGGCCACACUGGAACUGAGAAACGGUCCAGACUCCUACGGGAGGCAGCAGUAGGGAAUCUUCCGCAAUGGGCGAAAGCUUGACGGAGCAACGCCGCGUGAGUGAUGAAGGUCUUCGGAUCGUAAAACUCUGUUAUUAGGGAAGAACAAAUGUGUAAGUAACUAUGCACGUCUUGACGGUACCUAAUCAGAAAGCCACGGCUAACUACGUG